AAUCAGCGUGGAAGCUUUGUGAAGCCUAGCCUGCAAGAGAUCGUGACUUGGGUGAAGAAUUCAUGGGAUAAAAAUCACUGACAGCUUGUUGGCAAUAUACUAUGAACAAGCUACAUGGACAAAAAGUGCUAAUUUUAGCAGAGCGUUAUUGCAGGACAUGAGAGAUUGGGGCUACUGGUUCUACAGGAAAUGGAAUCGAAAAAAAAAAUCAGGCCGGAAUUCGGAGUCUGGAGAGUUAUGACGAUGUUCCAAAAGAUGACAUGACUGUAUUUGAAUAAAUAUAGAUUUUUGUACGUGAAUAAAUGAAUAAAAUGUA
rnacentral:lncRNA from 1 species